rnacentral:rRNA from 1 species
UACGUAGGGGGCAAGCGUUAUCCGGAUUUACUGGGUGUAAAGGGAGCGUAGACGGCGGUGCAAGCCAGAUGUGAAAACUAUGGGCUCAACCCAUAGCCUGCAUUUGAAACUGUAUUUCUUGAGUGCUGGAGAGGCAAUCGGAAUUCCGUGUGUAGCGGUGAAAUGCGUAGAUAUAAGGAAGAACACCAGUGGCGAAGGCGGAUGACUGGACGGCAACUGACGGUGAGGCUCGAAAGCGUGGGGAGCAAAUAGG